UAUGAACAAGCAUGUUGAUUAGUGCAUUCAGUUUCCAGUAGUACAGAAGGAAUCUCAAUCCAUGUUCAUGUUAAAGAAAGCGGAGAGAUGUUGUAGGUUGGAACUGUGCACGCUUGUUGAUUUCUUGUUGUGACUUCUGUAGUUUGCCACAUGUUUUUGUUCGAACUACAUCUGAAUUGUAGAUCUGAAGUUUCAUUUGCACACAUCAACUUCAAACUGCUAUAGAAUUUUGUACCAUACUGAGGUUCGUUUCAGUUCUGUUUUUGAGAAUGGUUCGGUUCAGUUCACAUAAGUCAUUUGAUGAUAUUUUUCAGCCAUUACUAUUUCUCCAAUAUUGUUCAUGAUCUCUUCGCCGCCCCUUGAUGCCGGGCUUGGAGCUCACCUGGCCCGCAUGGCCCCGCCGCCUCUCCCACGCCGUGUCUGCCCAGCAGUCGCACUAGGCCAAGACGAGGACAAAGCCAAACCCCAGACAGCGUAGGAACUGAAGCAACAAUCUGUUCAUUUCGGACACUUGGGCCCAGAAAUUAGGAGUUGAGGUUUGCCUCAUUGAGAAGUACUGGCCGGGAGUUCACCUUCACAAUCAACCAGUGAUCCCUUGUACUACUUCAGGGAUCAAGCCGAGAUUUGGCUGUCGGCUGUCGGCUUUUCCUAUAGGGACAAAGCUCAACUGUUGAAUGUUGAUGGUGAAUCGAAGAUAGUGCUUAUUCCAGUUGUAGUUGCGGUCAGUUUCCUUCCAUUCCUUUUACCUGAUAAUUUAUCUCUUCAUUUUCUUUGGUAUUCUAUUUUAUAUGAAAAUUCGUCGAUGCGAGACUUGGACCAUGAAUUUGCUUCAGUUGCUUAUUUUGUAGUAGUAUACUCCUUUGUGACAAUCAAGAAUAUGCUAGCCGUAUUGCCAGCAUUAUAUGUAUAUACUCCAUAUGGUAGUAUAUACUCUGAGAACUGGUGUAUAUACCUUAUUUGUAAAAUAGUUUGUAUAUACUUCUUGCUAACUACUCUGUAUUAUCAUGGUGGGUUAAAUAGUUUUUGGUCUUCUAACUCUCUAGGAUAAUUAGCAUCUUUGUGGGCCUUUUCAGAUUAAAAUAACCUAUUGAUUUGAUCAAUAGAACAGAUCUCUCUUUUUAAAUAGUGGUAGUUUCUCCAAAGUUCUACUAAUUUAAUUCAUUAUUUAGGUAUCCA